rnacentral:rRNA from 1 species
UGGGGAAUAUUGGGCAAUGGGCGAAAGCCUGACCCAGCGACGCCGCGUGGGUGAUGAAGGCCUUCGGGUUGUAAAGCCCUUUCGUGCGGAAAGAACAGCCCUGUAGUUAAUACCUGCAGGGUUUGACGGUACCGCAGGAAGAAGCACCGGCUAACUCCGUGCCAGCCGCCGCGGUAAUACGGAGGGUGCAAGCGUUGUUCGGAAUUAUUGGGCGUAAAGGGCGCGUAGGUGGUUGUGAUAGUCAGAUGUGAAAUCCUUUGGCUUAACUGAAGAACUGCAUCUGAAACGUAACAACUAGAGUACAGGAGAGGGAAACGGAAUUCACGGUGUAGAGGUGAAAUUCGUAGAUAGCGGGAGGAACACCAGUGGCGAAGGCGGUUUCCUGGCCUGAUACUGACACUGAGGCGCGAAAGCGUGGGGAGCAAACA